rnacentral:tRNA from 1 species
AUCCGUCUAGCUCAGUCGGUAGAGCGCUGGCCUUUUAAGCCAGUGGUCGUGGGUUCGAGCCCCACGGGGGGUG